UACGUAGGUGGCAAGCGUUGUCCGGAAUUAUUGGGCGUAAAGCGCGCGCAGGCGGUCCUUUAAGUCUGAUGUGAAAGCCCACGGCUCAACCGUGGAGGGUCAUUGGAAACUGGGGGACUUGAGUGCAGGAGAGAAGAGUGGAAUUCCACGUGUAGCGGUGAAAUGCGUAGAGAUGUGGAGGAACACCAGUGGCGAAGGCGACUCGUUUGGCCUCGGUUAACUGACGCUGAGGCGCGAAAGCGUUGGGGAGCAAACAGG
rnacentral:rRNA from 1 species